UGCCGUAGUCCCCUUUUUUGAGGGAAUA
rnacentral:piRNA from 1 species